GACGAACGCUGGCGGCGUGCUUAACACAUGCAAGUCGAGCGCUGAAACCUUCGGGUGGAUGAGCGGCGAACGGGUGAGUAACACGUGGGUAACCUGCCCUGUACUUCGGGAUAAGCCUGGGAAACUAGGUCUAAUACCGGAUAUGACAUCCCAAGGCAUCUUGGGGUGUGGAAAGUUCCGGCGGUACAGGAUGGACCUGCGGCCUAUCAGCUUGUUGGUGGGGUAAUGGCCUACCAAGGCGACGACGGGUAGCCGGCCUGAGAGGGCGACCGGCCACACUGGGACUGAGACACGGCCCAGACUCCUACGGGAGGCAGCAGUGGGGAAUAUUGCACAAUGGGCGAAAGCCUGAUGCAGCGACGCCGCGUGAGGGAUGACGGCCUUCGGGUUGUAAACCUCUUUCAGCAGGGACGAAGCGAAAGUGACGGUACCUGCAGAAGAAGCACCGGCUAACUACGUGCCAGCCGCCGCAGUAAAAC
rnacentral:rRNA from 1 species